rnacentral:guide_RNA from 1 species
AAACUCACAACACAAAAAUAUAAUAUAAAUAUAGAUUGU